UACAGAGGUCUCAAGCGUUGUUCGGAUUCAUUGGGCGUAAAGGGUGCGUGGGCGGUGGGGUAAGUCGGAUGUGAAAUCCCAGGGCUCAACCCCGGAACUGCAUUCGAUACUGCCUUGCUCGAGUACUGGAGAGGAGACUGGAAUUUACGGUGUAGCAGUGAAAUGCGUAGAUAUCGUAAGGAAGACCAGUGGCGAAGGCGAGUCUCUGGGCAGUUACUGACACUGAGGCACGAAGGCCAGGGGAGCAAACGGG
rnacentral:rRNA from 1 species